AAGGGAGGUGUAAAAUUGUUCUCACCCUGUGAAAAUAAUCUAAAAUGUGGAAACUUUUUUUCUGGGAAACAACAAAAUGUUCACAUGAGCAUCUUUAAUGCAGCAGGGCAUCCCCCAUUCAGACACCAGGUCCAAGAUUGGCUGUUUAUAGAAAGAUGGCCUAUAAUCUUCUGGACAUUUAUCUGCUCUAAUUUAUAUACAUAAAGGAGCAGAGGGUGUUUUGGGGUUGGUUGGUGGGGCGGGGGGUUUGCUGAAGGAAAUAUAAGAAAAUGUGUGUUUGUGCGUGUGUGUGCAUGUGUUUGAGUGGGAAUGAAGGAACUGAUCUAGUGUGUCUGUUCAGGGCCCAGGCACUCAGAUUACUCUUUUUCCCCCUCAGUAUAACUCAAUGAGAUUUGAGUGAAAAAGAUCAAUCUCUGGAGAAGUGUUCUGUUUUCUUAUUUGCUUUGUUUUAUUUUUCUUGUGAAAUACAUUGUAAAUGAAAAGCAUAUAAGUAAUGCAUAUUAACAAUUUAAAUAAUUAUUUUACAAAGAAAACCUGUGUACUCGGCAGCCAACUUAAGAAACAGAAACUUUGAUGGCAGAGGUGGGCGGAUUACUUAAGACCAGGAGUUCGAGACCAGCCUGGCCAACAUGGUGAAACUCCAUCUCUACUAAAAUUACAAAAAUUAGCUGGGUGUGGUGGUGCAUGCUUGUAAUCCCAGCUACUUGGGAGGCUGAGGCAGAAGAACCACUUGAACCCAGGAGGCUGAGCUUGCAGUGAUCUGAGAUCCUGCCACUGCACUCCUGCCUUGGCAACAGAAUGAGACACUGUCUCAAAACAAAACAAAAAAAGAAAUAGAAACUUUGCAUCUUUCUCUCCCAUUCCAAUUAAUUACUAUACUGAAGUUUGUAUUAGUAAAUCCUUUGAUUUUCAUUAGUUUGUGUAUCCUUAUUGCUUAAGCAAUAUAUUGUUUAGUUUUGCCUCUUUUUUACCUUUACUGUAUUUUUACUCUUACUAAAUAUAUAUUUCUAUGUCUUGCUUUUUACACUCAAUAUUGUUUGAAGCUUGUCUGUGUUGAUGCAUGUAACUGUAGUCUGCCCAUUUUCCUUGAUGGAUAGCAUUCCGAUAUGUAAAUUACCAACUUGCUCGGAGGUGCAGCCAUUAAAUCCUCAUUUUGAGCAAUCACCCCAAGUAAGACUGAUGCAGGUGGACUUUUGCUCACACUUCGGGAAUUACUGUCUUAGAGGACACAGUCCGAGCUCUUACCUCCCAGUUUCCCAAGUCUCUACAUCAGCCUUUUAAUUUUAGUAGAACUGUUUGUUUUCCUUUUCCAAAAAUAUUUUCUCAUCAUUCUUCGCCUAGAUAAUUCUUAUGCUUUAAGUCUCUCCAUUAAGCUAUAAACUCCUCCAAACAUUGUCAUUAUUAUCAUUGUUGUCACUGACAUUUAUGGAGCAGAUACAGUGUACCAGGUAGUUAGUACAAAGAGUUUUACAUGGAUCAUCUCAUUAAUGCUCGUCCAAACCCAUGAAAAAGGUGCUGGGAUUAGCAUCAUUUUACAGAUAAGGAAGUAAGGGUCAGAGAGAUUAAGUAACUUGCCCAAAGUUAAACAGCUCUGGAAUGUGGAUCUCUUUAACUAUCUUACUUGUCUCUGAACCUCUAGGAUCUAGGGUAGGACUUUGGUGUGUGGAAGGCACUUGAUUAAUGUCUGUUGAGCUGCACUGAAAGGAAAAGCCAAGGAGACCAGAUGGAAAACAAUCCGUUUAGUUCAGAUGAUGGCAGUGGGGAUGGAAAAGAGGAGCUGGAAAUAAGACUUGGCAUGACAGACUAUUACAUAGCUGAAUCUGGGGCGUGAGGUUAGGGCAGGGAAUGAGGAAGGGACAAGGCAUUUCCAUUUUUUCACUUUGAGCACUUCUGUAUUUUCUGGAAAUGUUUACAACAAGCACGUGGUGCUUUAAUAAUUUUUUUUAAAGAAGAGAAAGUGUAGAGGCAGCAACUACAUGACUAGGCACCAGCAAAAUAUAGAAAAAAAAGGACAAAAAGAAAUCCAAGCUGACCAGCAGGCUUCUGGCAAGGCAAUGUAGGAGAAUGGGGAAUUGAAGGCAGAAAGAGAAAUGCCUGGGGGAAUGCUUCCGGGGGAGAUACUGACUGUAAUUUGGAGAGUCUGCUUUUGGGAAGCAGCAGGUCAUUCUGGGGAGGUCUCCACCAAGUAGCUAGACUUGUAGGUCUGAAAUUCAGGAGAGAGGUUGAGCCAGACCCAUGCUCUGAGAAAUGAUGGUUGAAGUCAUAAGCUAAAUGUGCGGAGCAAAAAAGAAAGAAGAAAGAAGACCUCAACCAAAGUGUUGACAGGGUCAGGCAUAUCUGAGUGGAAGAAGAAGAGGAGCCAGGCCAGGCGCGGUGGCUCAUGCCUAGAAUCCCAGCACUUUGGGAGGCCGAGGUGGGCAGAUCACCUGAGGCAGGAGUUCAAGACCAGCCUGGUGAAACCCCCAUCUCUACCAAAAGUACAAAAAUUAGCUGGGCCUGUAGUCCCAGCUACUCUGGAGGCUGAGGCACCAGAAUCCCUUGAACCUGGGAGGUGGAGGUUGCAGUGAGCUGGUGAGCCAAGAUCCUGCCACUGCACUCCAGCCUGGGCAACAAAGCAAGACUUUGUCUCAAAAACAAAACAAAACAAAACAAAACAAAACAAAAAAAUCCAGAGGAGCCAGGGAAGGUACUUGAAGAGGAGCAGCCAGAAAUGUAGGAGAAUCAUCUCUCAACCUCAUAGUCACCAAUGGAAAAGAUAAUUUUUUUAAAAAGGCCAUAUGUAAAUGGCAUCAAACAGUAAAGAGUUGUUGAAUCAGAAGAAGACUAACAAGAGGCCUUCAGAUGUGGAAAUUAAGUCUUUUUUUUUUUUUAAGAGACAAGUUCUAGCUCUGUCACGCAAUCUGGAGUACGGUGG
rnacentral:lncRNA from 1 species